UGUGGUUCAAGACCUGGGUUCUGAUGUUGCUAAGCAGGAUUAGGUUCUGGGUUCUGAUGUUGAUAAGCAGAAUUAGUUUCUGGGUUCUGAUGUUGCUAAGCAGUAUUGCUUUCUGUUGCUUAGGUUCUUGUGCUUGCCUCUUGCCAUCUGGUUAUCUCUGGUGUUUACUGGCCUUUCUGUCUCUGAUGGAGCCUGUCCCUCCUAUGAGCUUGGGAACCUGUGAGCCUGUGAUUCUGUAUGUGCCAGAACCCCUAGAGACUGAGUGUUACUGGAGUGUGGGCUGAAUUUGUUGGGAUCUGGAACAGAGGCUCUGCUCCUAGCACAAGUGCAAACCAGAAGGAGCACAGCUCUCUAGCUGAGUGGGAUAUCUGCAUCAUGGAGUCAGGCACCCCAUUUAAGCUUGGUAUUGGGGCAGGUUUGGGGUCUCACAUGUGAUCCUGGAUGUGUCAGAAUACCUGGAGAGUAGAGCUGCAACUGAAGUGUGGACUGAAUUGGUUGGAACCCAGAACAGAGGCUCUGUUCCCAACACAGAUGCAAACAGAAAGGAGUGCAGGUCUCUGGCUUGAAUUCACUUUUUUUUUUCUGGGUCAGAACUUUUGACUGUAGGAUAGCAACCCCAUUCCUCCACUUGAUGCCCUGUCUUUCAGCUGAAGGUGGACUCUACAAGUUCCCUCUCCCCAGUGUUGGGCAUUUCAUAUAAGGUCUCUCCCAUUUCAUAUAAGAGUCUCACCUCCCAGGUCUCUGUUUCAUUACAGAGAGUUCCCCCACUCCCACUUCCUGAGGUUGCAUAUUUCCAUUCAUUCUGCUGGCUGUCAGGGCUUCACAUCUGUUUUCCCCCACCCCCAAGUAACUGAUCAUGUUCCCAUUUCCCCUCCCCUUCCCUCUCCCACCCAGUUCUCUCUCUCUCCCUCCACACCCCACUCCCACCUCCCCCAACCCCCAUCCCCACCCAUGAUUGCUUUCUUCUCCCUCCUAACUGGGAUCGAAGCAUCCUCAUUUGGACCCUUCAGCUUGACAACGUUCUUGAGUUCUGUGGAUUAUAUCCUGGGCAUUCUGUAAUUUUUGGCCAAUAUCUACUUAUCAGUGAAUACAUAACAUGCAUGUCAUUUUGGGUCCAAAUGGCCUCCCUCAGGAUGAUAUUUUCUAGUGUCAUCCAUUUGCCUCCAAAACUCAUGAUGUCCUAGCUCUUUAUUUUUUUAUUUUUUAUUUUAAUUUACAUUUUCCAAUGUUAUCCCCUUUCCCAGUUUCCCCUCCAGAUACCUGAUACCUUGUCGUGCUUCUGUGAGGGUGCUCCCCCACCCUGACAUUCCCAUACACUAGGGCAUCUAACCCUCCCAGGACCAAGGGCCUAUCCUCCCAUUGAUGCCUAAUAAUGCCAUCUGUUGGUAUUAUGUCUAAGCUCCACCCCCACAGUGACAUAACAAUAGUCAGCUGCCCGACUAUAAAAGGGGCUGCUUGCCCCUUCCUCUUCCUCUUACUGCCCUCUUACCCACUAUUGUUCUUUGUUCUUUGCUGCUCUUGCCCCAUUCCCCAUUCCUCCCUCCAUGUGCCCCUGGCCAGUCUUUCCUUUCUUCUUCUACUCUUCUCUCAUUAAACCUCUCCACAUGGAACCAUUUUGGCUAGGUGUUUUCUGUCUGGGCAUGGGUCAAGACUCAAACCCUAACAUCAUCCUCUGCUACAUAUGUGGAUGGAGCCAUAGGUCCAUCCCUGUGUACUCUUGGGAUAAUGGUUUAGUCCUUGUGAGCUAUGGGGGAUCUGGUUAGUUGAUAUUCUUGUUCUUAUGGAGUUGCAAACACCUUCAGCUCUUUCAGUCCUUUCUCUAACUCCUUCAUUGGGGACCCUGUCCUCAGUUCAAUGGUAGACUGCAAACAUCUGCCUCUGUAUUUGUCAGGCUGUGGCACAGCCUCUCUGGACACAGCUAUAUCAGGCUCUUGUCAGCAAGCACUUCUUUGGCAUGUGAGAUAUUGUCUGGGUUUGGUGGGUGUCUAUGGGUUGGAUCUCCAGGUGUGGCAGUCUCUGGAUGGCCUUUCCUUCAAUCUCUGCUACAUACUUUGUCUCCAUAUUUCCUCCUGUGAGUAUUUUUGUUCCCCCUUCAAAGAAGGACUGAAGCAUCCUAUAAAUGUCAUUCUGUCUGUCUGUUGCAUGAUUCUAAAUCUGUCCCUGUACCUAUACCUAUGUCUGUGCAUGUGUCUUUGUUUGUCUUUUUGCCCCUAACAAAAGGCUUUGUUCUCUCUUUCAUUGAAUUGUACAGAAAGAAUGACAUGAAUAUGAGAUGAAACCCCUCUGCAGAAAUCUUUCACAGGAUUUUAUAUCAUAUUAAGUCAUAGAUUCAACUGAUCCCAACUAACUUUAGUUAAAAAAAGAGUAUAAUAAAUAUUAAUUGUUUUUCAAGCACUGUGCAUAUGUAAUAUUCAACAGUUGGGAUGGAUAUUUUAUAAGUUUUCCUUCAGCCUGUAAUUUCUUUUUCAAUAGGUAAUUGUCAUAAUACAAAUUUACACAU